rnacentral:lncRNA from 1 species
ACUCUUCUCUCUCUCUCUUUUUCUACUGGCAGAAAUGUGGAAACAAUGAUGAGUGAUCCAGGCAAAAAGCACCCAGGGAUAUGCUAAAAUGAGAAGAGAAAAUGAAGCUCCUUUGUUCGAUAAUCUGUGUGCUCUGGAAAACUUCCAACUUCUGGAUCAACCCAUGAGGAAUAAGUAAGAUUCAAGCUUUUUGAACCAAAGUAUUUUGAUUCCUAUGUUAGUGCAGUUUACCCUCCACCAAAAAUAACAUUUAUAUGAAAAGAAAAAUACAUGAAGAUCUGAAUGCUCAGUAUACUGAGGAAUAAACUACAAUACUUUCAGAAAAACACAUAGAAGAAAAUUUUAGUAACAAAACAGUGGUGAAUAAACAUUAAAUGAAAUAAAAUAUUGCAAGUGUAUAUUGAGACAUUGAAUAUUGUAAAAAAAUGAGUAAUAUUUUAAAAUUUAGGUAAAACAUCUGUGCGAGUUGAUAGGAUGAGUUGGGUAACACAGAGAAAUAUUAUCUGAGAAAAUCAGAAGCUCAAAAUAAAUUACAACUAUGAAUUUAAAGCAACAAUCCAGCUAAAUAAAUUGAUAAUUUUCUCUCAAAAUAUACACGAGCCUGUUUAUGGAUCACACACAUUGAUAUCAAAGAAUAUGGAUGAGUGUAUCAGGAAUUUUCUAUUUCCUUUAUGACGAUGGUUACAUUAAAAAAACAAUA